rnacentral:rRNA from 1 species
GGGGAAUAUUGCACAAUGGGCGCAAGCCUGAUGCAGCGACGCCGCGUGGGGGAUGACGGCCUUCGGGUUGUAAACUCCUUUCGUCAGGGAAGAAGCCUUUUGGGGUGACGGUACCUGGAGAAGAAGCACCGGCUAACUACGUGCCAGCAGCCGCGGUAAUACGUAGGGUGCGAGCGUUGUCCGGAAUUAUUGGGCGUAAAGAGCUUGUAGGCGGUUUGUCGCGUCUGCGGUGAAAACCCGGGGCUUAACCUUGGGCGUGCCGUGGGUACGGGCAGGCUAGAGUGUGGUAGGGGAGACUGGAAUUCCUGGUGUAGCGGUGAAAUGCGCAGAUAUCAGGAGGAACACCGAUGGCGAAGGCAGGUCUCUGGGCCAUUACUGACGCUGAGAAGCGAAAGCAUGGGGAGCGAAC